ensembl:snRNA Gm24263 predicted gene, 24263
GUGCUUGCUUUGGCAGCACAUGCACAAAAACCGGAAUAGUAAAGAGAAUGCUAGCAUGGCCCCUAUGUAAGAAUAAUAUGCAAAUUUGUGAAGCAGUUCAUAUUUUU